rnacentral:rRNA from 1 species
GACGUAGGGGGCGAGCGUUGUCCGGAUUCAUUGGGCGUAAAGAGCACGCAGGCGGUUUGGCAAGUCGGAUGUGAAAACCCGGAGCUCAACUCCGGACCUGCAUCCGAAACUGCCCGACUAGAGGUAGGUAGGGGAGAUCGGAAUUCCUGGUGUAGCGGUGAAAUGCGCAGAUAUCAGGAGGAACACCGGUGGCGAAGGCGGAUCUCUGGGCCUUACCUGACGCUCAGGUGCGAAAGCUAGGGGAGCGAACAGG